rnacentral:lncRNA from 1 species
AAAGGGGGAUGGACUUUGGCAAUGAGGUUGUAAUUGAGAGAUAAAAUAGUGGAAGGACGAAAAAAAAGAGAGAGCAAAGUCAAGUGGUGGAAGAAAGGAAUAUCAUAAUAAGGAAUAUCUGAGUCCCCGCAUAAAGACAUGAAUGAGAGGAUGAGAAAUUUUUUUAUUAGGAAGGAAUCAGAAGGUUAAAGAAUUAGUCGUUCCAUGGUCAUGCUGAUGAUUGAUGGCUUAAUGUAAGAGAUCAUACUUCAGAGAUUAUAGGCAUGCUUUAUAAUUGGAAAGGGAUGUUUAGAUGUGAAUUAUUGCACGAAAGGCAUGGAAACUAGUUAAUAAUAACUCCUGGAAUUAAGAAACUUAGCUUCCAAACAAGUUACAUGCACAUGAAGUUGGAAGUUGGGCCAUUUUGAGGCACUUGCUCUACAUUUGACUCUAAGCAAGUUGCUUGAAAGCCAGCAGCUCAUCUGCGAAGCCCUCGGAAUGCAUUAAUCAUCAUGCCACUUAGGACUCACGAUUGUUUACUUACUCAGAUAUUAAGUUAUUGUAAUCCUACUCGCAUACUCAUAUACAAUCUAUAGAUAGCCAUCAAAUAUGCAAUUGCAGUUGAACCAAACAACCAUCCAACUCUUGUCAGGCAAUAAACACAUUAUACAAUAUGCAGUGCGAUUAAAUAACUUAGAUACCAUGUAAUUCUCUCCUCUUUUUGAAGGAUAGAGGCUCUGUUAAAAAAAAAUUCACAUUCUACAGUAGAGUAGAUGCUAGUACAAAAUGGUCCUUUGACCCCAAAAAUGACCCCCCAGCAGCUCAGACUGUCCUAUUGAAGGUGGUGGGUGGUUCCCUCAACAAAUGCUGGUAUCCUAUGGUGCAUCUGCCUCAGAGUUUGGGAAAUGGCAAGGAAAGAACCCGCCAUGAGAGCAUCAUCAAGUCUUCAACCCCUUUAAUUUCUUCUGUUCACUGAAUCAAAGAAAAGCCCACACAGUACAAUUACCCAGUCUUCCUUUUCUGGUAGAUAGAAUCUACUUAAUUUUCAAAGUUAGA